rnacentral:rRNA from 1 species
UACGAAGGGCGCUAGCGUUGUUCGGAAUCACUGGGCGUAAAGCGCACGUAGGCGGAUGUGUCAGUCAGGGGUGAAAUCCCGGAGCUCAACUUCGGAACUGCCUUUGAUACAGCACGUCUUGAGUCCGGAAGAGGUGGGUGGAAUUCCUAGUGUAGAGGUGAAAUUCGUAGAUAUUAGGAAGAACACCGGUGGCGAAGGCGGCCCACUGGUCCGGUACUGACGCUGAGGUGCGAAAGCAUGGGGAGCGAACAGG